AUUGAACGCUGGCGGCAUGCCUAACACAUGCAAGUCGAACGGAGGUAGGGGCAACUCUACUUCAGUGGCGGACGGGUGAGGAAUGCGUCGGAAUCUACCCUAUGGUGGGGGAUAACACAGGGAAACUUGUGCUAAUACCGCAUAAUGUCGAGAGACCAAAGCAGGGGACCGCAAGGCCUUGCGCGAUAGGAUGAGCCGACGCCCGAUUAGCUUGUUGGUAGGGUAAUGGCCUACCAAGGCGACGAUCGGUAGCUGGUCUGAGAGGAUGAUCAGCCACACUGGGACUGAGACACGGCCCAGACUCCUACGGGAGGCAGCAGUGGGGAAUAUUGGACAAUGGGCGCAAGCCUGAUCCAGCAAUGCCGCGUGUGUGAAGAAGGCCUGCGGGUUGUAAAGCACUUUUGUUCGGGAAGAAACCUCGAACGUGUUCGGAGCUGACGGUACCAUAAGAAUAAGCAUCGGCUAACUCCGUGCCAGCAGCCGCGGUAAU
rnacentral:rRNA from 1 species